GACGAACGCUGGCGGCGUGCUUAACACAUGCAAGUCGAACGGAAAUGCCCUGCUUGCAGGGUACUCGAGUGGCGAACGGGUGAGUAACACGUGGGUGAUCUGCUCUGCACUUCGGGAUAAGCUUGGGAAACUGGGUCUAAUACCGGAUAGGAGCCAUCUUUAGUGUGGUGGUUGGAAAGUUUUUUCGGUGUAGGAUGAGCUCGCGGCCUAUCAGCUUGUUGGUGGGGUAAUGGCCUACCAAGGCGGCGACGGGUAGCCGGCCUGAGAGGGUGUACGGCCACAUUGGGACUGAGAUACGGCCCAGACUCCUACGGGAGGCAGCAGUGGGGAAUAUUGCACAAUGGGGGCAAGCCUGAGGCAGCGACGCCGCGUGGGGGAUGAAGGCCUUCGGGGUGUAAACUCCUUUCGCUAGGGACGAAGCUUUUUUGUGACGGUACCUAGAGAAGAAGCACCGGCUAACUACGUG
rnacentral:rRNA from 1 species